ensembl:processed_transcript 5830444B04Rik RIKEN cDNA 5830444B04 gene
GUAAGGCGCUUCCUACACCCAUUUCCAGCUGGCCAAGUAGGACCAAGAUAAUCAUCAUGGAGGAAGAGGAGAGGUGGGGAUGCCUCUCAGAUCAAAGUCUUCAAAGGCAAACCAGCUGCAUGUUUGUGAAGAUCGUGUUUGGCUCCGGCUCAAGCAAACAGCCCUGAAUGAGAUUCUUGAGAUAGCUACUGAAAACUGGCAGCAGGCUGUGUGACUCACCUCCACCUCCUGGAGCCAACCUGCUGCAGUAAUGGGCUUAGGCCAGCUCCCCUGCCCUGGUCUCACGUUUGUACCAUCCCUUCCCAUGUGCUGUGUGCGCCGAUAAAGUGACCGUCCAAAUCUAAGACAAAGAAACCUGCAGGCCAGUCAUGAUUAGUGAGCUGCCCAGAAGACCAUACCUCUGUGGCUUUUUCAGUGUCGCACGGGGAUUUGUUAUCCAUGCAUAAACUGAGCUGAUGGCUCCUGGGGUUGCCUAUGGAGGCAGAAUUUUCAACCCUCCAGCUCUCCUGCUCAGCACCACAUCAGGAGAGCAGCAUGCCUCUCUCCCUGGAAUGAAGAGGCCUUGAUCAUCCAACAACAGAUUCUACCCAAUGGAAAAGCCAGAGUUUUGCAUGUCAAAUAAGUAGUAGUGGACGUGAUUUAGUGGUCUCAUUUCUCUGAUGAAAUACCCGAAAGGACAGUUUAAGGAAGAAAGAGUUUAUUUUAGCUCACAGUUUAAAGGUGCGGUCCACCACAGUGGAGGAAGCUUGGCAGUGAGAACAGUGGGACCAGGAGCGAGGCAGCUGGUCACACUGCAUCUGCAGUCAGGAGGAAGCAUAGAGUCUCUCAAAGGUGCAUCUCCUAGGCCAUUCCAAUCUAAUCAAACGACAGUGAAAAUGAGCCAUGGGUGCCAGCCACUAAAGAACGCAUAGCUCUGUGGAGAUAUGAGCAGGCAUGAAGUCCUAUGUUCAUUUUCACUAUUGCUAUGGUUUAAAGUUUUAUGUAUUUUAACUUUUUUGUGCAUGAAUAUUAGCAUGCAUGUAUACAAGUGUACUCUACAUGCUUAGUGCCCGAGAAGAUCAGAAGAAAGCUGUUGAUCCCUGGGAACUAGUUUGUAAGAUGCUAUGUGGAUGCUGGGGCUCAAACUCAGCUCCUCUGCAACUGUAGCAAGUGUUGUGGAGCAGUGGUGGUGCAUGCCUUUAAUCCCAGCCCAUGGGAGGCAAAGGCAGGCAAAUCUCUGUGAAUUCCAGGCCAGUCUGGUCUGCAGAGCAUGUUCUAGCACAGCCAGUUCGACACACAGAAACUCUGUCUCAAAAAAAAAAAAAAAAAAAAAAAAAAAAAAGAAAAANGAAAGAAAGAAAGAAAGAGAGAGUACCAAUUGCUUUGAACCACUAAGACAUCUCCCCAGCCCCACCUCACUACUGCUCUAUCAGGGUAGCAGGUCCCCUAACCCAUACCCUAGUGUUGGUUCACCUAAAGGGGGGGGGGUGUUCUUUAAGUAUUUGGAAAAGGAUACACACCUCUGAGAUGGACAGCCUUUCUGUGAGAAAGGCCUUGAGGUGUUAGACAGUGAGUGAGGCUCUCCCUCAGAGCAAGAAUAGGAGUGGAUGGAGAGAUGGAGAGAGUACAAGAACAAUCUAUAGUGUCUAUAGUGGAAGAAGCAGGCCAGGCAUGUUAGAAACAGCCUAAGAGGUCUGGAGAGAUGGCUCAGAGGUUGAACACACUAACCGCACUUUCAGAGGUACUGAGUUCAAUUCCCAGCAACCACAUGGAGGCUCACAACCAUCUGUAAUAUGACCUUGGUGCCCUCUUCUGGCGUGUAGUACAGAACACUGUACAUAACAAACAAACAAAUAAUAAAUAAAUAAAUAAUUUUUUUUAAAAAAAGAAAAAGAAAAGAAAGAGCCAAAGACUAUAACAGUCGUGUAAGACCAAGGCUUUGUUUCCUGACCUUGGAUGAGUCAGCUCCAUAGUUAUCUCUCCUAAUUCCCUGAGUCGAACCCAGGUCAGAGGUAAAGACAGACCCAUAGCUAGUUCAAAAUGUAUACAUGCAACCUAUAUAUGUAUAUGUGUAGGAAGGAACCAAAGCUCAGAAGCUACACACAAAUCUUGCUAGGAACAAAAUUUUGAAAGCUUGUAACCCCGGGACUUGAGGCGAAGCCGGAUGGGUGGCCAGUAGUUCAGAGUCAUCCUUGACUAUAUAGCAAGUUCAAAACCAGCCUGAACUUCAUCAGACCCUGUCUGAAAAAUGAAAACAAAACAAAACAAAACAAAAAAAAACCAUAUCUAAGCAGUUCCUUGUGCUAGAAGCUCUAUAAGUCAUCUUUUUCAACACGCCUGACUGGCCAGUUUCCAGGCAUCCCCAGGGCACCUGAGCAUAGAGCAUCCUUACUAUGUCGAUUAGGCUGUAUCUAAACCUCGCAUCUUCUGCUUCAGUCUCUGAAGUAGCUGGAACUCCACGUGUUCACCACUGGUGGGUGGGAUCUGCUUAUUUUAAAGUGUUUUCUGUGAUCCCAGGCAUCCAGUAAGGUCAGUGAAUGAGGUGAAACAGGGGCUAAAGCUUGUGAGUAGCUUUUAAAAGGAAUCCUUCAAAACUUUGUACUCAAAAGAAUUAAAAUGGAAGAUGUGUCCGGGGGAAGAGCAUACUAAUUGGUUUUCCAAUAUCAAAUGGUCAGCCUUGAGAACAAAAUACAAAGUGGCAUUAUACAGACUGAGCCGGUUAUAAUUAGGAAUAUAUAUGUAUAUACAUAUUUGUAUGUAGCAACAAUUAAUGAAAAAAAAAAGAGGCCAUGAAUUUGAAAGAGAGAAAAGAGUGGUGGUAUACAGGAGAUGCUGGAGGGAGGAAAGGGAGAAAUGAUAGAGUUGUAAUUUCAAAAAUAAAAAAGACAAUUU